UAUCUCUGUAGAGUCUGCAUAUCAAUAAGCGGAGGAAAAGAAACUAACUAGGAUUCCCUCAGUAACGGCGAGUGAAGCGGGAAGAGCUCAAAUUUGAAAUCUUCAAGGUUUUACCUUGACGAAUUGUAGUUUAAAGAAGUGUUUUCUGUUGGAGUUUUGGUAAAAGUUCUUUGGAAUAGGACAUCAUAGAGGGUGAGAAUCCCGUAUUUGACCAUUAUUUCCAGCUUUGUGGAUACACUUUCAAAGAGUCGGAUUGUUUGGGAAUGCAGUCCAAAAUGGGUGGUAAAUUUCAUCUAAAGCUAAAUAUUGGCGAGAGACCGAUAGCGAACAAGUACCGUGAGGGAAAGAUGAAAAGAACUUUGAAAAGAGAGUUAAACAGUACGUGAAAUUGUCAAAAGGGAAGCGUUUGACACCAGUGUUGUUUCUACGAAAAUCAAUUUAUGAUGGCUUGAUGCUAAGCUUUAAGACUUUAUCCGCUUGUUGUUUAGUUUUCUUGUCUUUGUGAAUGCACUUUUCGUGGAACAAGUCAACAUCAAUUUCUUUUGCUGUAAAAGGGUAAGAGGAAGGUGGCUUCGGCUUCGGUUGAAGUGUUUAUAGCCUUUUAUCUCUGCAGUCGGAGAGAUUGAGGUCUGCAGCGUAGACUCUUCGGGGUUAGAUACGUCGGUGCUAAGCUAUAGCUUUUCAUAGACAACUUGUUGACUAUGUUUAGUCAUGUGGCUUACCCGCUGGCGCUAUUUUACCUACGCUUAGGAUGUUGAGUCAUCACACAUCUCU
rnacentral:rRNA from 1 species